rfam:Parastrongyloides trichosuri strain KNP genome assembly, scaffold: PTRK_scaffold0000093
CCAACGGCCCUCUUUAGGGCCCCCAAUAUAUAUGAUCUCUAUUCA